rnacentral:rRNA from 1 species
CCCUUAGAUGUUCUGGGCCGCACGCGCGCUACACUGAUGCAGUCAACGAGUUUACAACCUUGGCUGAAAGGCCUGGGUAAUCUUUUAAAACUGCAUCGUGCUGGGGAUAGAUGAUUGCAAUUAUUCAUCUUCAACGAGGAAUUCCUAGUAAACGCAAGUCAUCAGCUUGCAUUGAUUACGUCCCUGUCCUUUGUACACACCGCCCGUCGCACCUACCGAUUGAAUGGUCCGGUGAAAUCUUCGGACCGUGGCAAUGUCGCCGUUCGCGGGGACGCUGCCGUGGGAAGUUGCUUAAAUCUUACCAUUUAGAGGAAGGUGAAGUCGUANCA